AUAUUAGUCAAUGCUCGCAAGAGUGAACGAGCUAACUGAAAGAAUAUACAAUCUAAAGUUAGGAACCUUAUAAUUUUUAUUAUAAGUUUAAAGACGAGUCUAACUAACAGUGUCGUCCAAAUUCUGGUGCCAGAAGACUCGGUAAUACCAGAGACGCGAACGUUAAUCAUCUUGAAUGGGCAUAAAGGGUUUGUAGGCGGCUUAUUUAUUAAUAGGCUAGAAUCUUAGAGAGGUUAAUAAAAUACUUAGAGGAGGGCUGAUAUCCAUAGAUCCUAAGUGGAAUCCUAAUUGCGAAGGCCAUUUUCCACUACAGAUUGACGCUGAGAAACGAAGGUUAGGAUAGGAACUAGGAUUAGAGACCCUAUUACCCCUAACUGUAAACGAUGAAUGGAAGAUAUUUACAAUUGUAAGUGUCGAAGUGAAUACGAUAACCAUUCCGCCUUGCCAGUAUACUUGCAAAAGUGAAAACAAAAAAAUUAGUCGGUCCUAAAGCAAACGAAGUGAAGCAUGUUAUUUA
rnacentral:rRNA from 1 species